rnacentral:rRNA from 1 species
GUGGGGAAUAUUGGACAAUGGGGGGAACCCUGAUCCAGCCAUGCCGCGUGUGUGAAGAAGGCCUUUUGGUUGUAAAGCACUUUAAGCGAGGAGGAGGCUACCGAGAUUAAUACUCUUGGAUAGUGGACGUUACUCGCAGAAUAAGCACCGGCUAACUCUGUGCCAGCAGCCGCGGUAAUACAGAGGGUGCAAGCGUUAAUCGGAUUUACUGGGCGUAAAGCGCGCGUAGGUGGCCAAUUAAGUCAAAUGUGAAAUCCCCGAGCUUAACUUGGGAAUUGCAUUCGAUACUGGUGGGCUAGAGUAUGGGGGAGGAUGGUAGAAUUCCAGGUGUAGCGGUGAAAUGCGUAGAGAUCUGGAGGAAUACCGAUGGCGAAGGCAGCCAUCUGGCCUAAUACUGACACUGAGGUGCGAAAGCAUGGGGAGCAAACAGGAUUAGAUACCCGAGUAGUCC